GGGAUAGUAGCCCAAUACAUGCAAGUCGAGCGGACAGAUGGGAGCUUGCUCCCUGAUGUUAGCGGCGGACGGGUGAGUAACACGUGGGUAACCUGUGUAAGACUGGGAUAACUCCGGGAAACCGGGGCAUACCGGAUGGUUGUUUGAACCGCAUGGUUCAAACAUAAAAGGUGGCUUCGGCUACCACUCAGAUGGACCCGCGGCGCAUUAGCUAGUUGGUGAGGUAACGGCUCACCAAGGCAACGAUGCGUAGCCGACCUGAGAGGGUGAUCGGCCACACUGGGACUGAGACACGGCCCAGACUCCUACGGGAGGCAGCAGUAGGGAAUCUUCCGCAAUGGACGAAAGUCUGACGGAGCAACGCCGCGAGUGAUGAAGGUUUUCAUCGUAAAGCUCUGUUGUUAGGGAAGAACAAGUACCGUUCGAAUAGGGCGGUACCUUGACGGUACCUAACCAGAAAGCCACGGCUAACUACGUGCCAGCAGCCGCGGUAAUACGUAGGUGGCAAGCGUUGUCCGGAAUUAUUGGGCGUAAAGGGCUCGCAGGCGGUUUCUUAAGUCUGAUGUGAAAGCCCCCGGCUCAACCGGGGGAGGGUCAUUGGGAAACUGGGGAACUUGAGUGCAGAAGAGGAGAGUGGAAUUCCACGUGUAGCGGUGAAAUGCGGAGAUGUGGAGGAACACCAG
rnacentral:rRNA from 1 species